rnacentral:rRNA from 1 species
ACGCUGGCGGCGUGCCUAACACAUGCAAGUCGAACGGAGAUUACGGACGGAAGUUUUCGGAUGGAAGACUGUAAUUCUUAGUGGCGGACGGGUGAGUAACGCGUGGGCAACCUGCCCUAUACAGGGGGAUAACAGCUGGAAACGGCUGGUAAGACCGCAUAAGUCGGCGAAACCGCAUGGUUUUGCCGGGAAAUGAGCAAUCAGGUAUAGGAUGGGCCCGCGUCCGAUUAGCCAGUUGGCAGGGUAAAAGCCUACCAAAGCAACGAUCGGUAGCCGGACUGAGAGGUCGGACGGCCACAUUGGGACUGAGACACGGCCCAAACUCCUACGGGAGGCAGCAGUGGGGGAUAUUGCACAAUGGAGGAAACUCUGAUGCAGCGACGCCGCGUGAGUGAAGAAGUAUUUCGGUAUGUAAAGCUCUAUCAGCAGGGAAGAUGAUGACGGUACCUGACUAAGAAGCCCCGGCUAACUACGUGCCAGCAGCCGCGGUAAUACGUAGGGGGCAAGCGUUAUCCGGAUUUACUGGGUGUAAAGGGAGCGCAGGCGGUUUGGCAAGUUGAGAGUGGAAGCAGGGGGCUCAACCCCCUGACUGCUCCCAAAACUGUUAAACUUGAGUAUGGGAGAGGCAGGCGGAAUUCCUAGUGUAGCGGUGAAAUGCUUAGAUAUUAGGAAGAACACCGGUGGCGAAGGCGGUCUGCUGGACCAAAACUGACGCUGAGGCUCGAAAGCGUGGGUAGCAAACAGGAUUAGAUACCCUGGUAGUCCACGCUGUAAACGAUGAAUACUAUGUGCUGGGAGGCAUAAGCCUUUCCGGUGCCGUCGCAACGCAUUAAGUAUUCCACCUGGGGGAGUACGUUCCGCAAGAAUGAACUCAAGGAAUUGACGGGGACCCGCACAGCGGUGGAGACA